AUUGAACGCUGGCGGCAUGCUUUACACAUGCAAGUCGAACGGCAGCGCGGGCUUCGGCCUGGCGGCGAGUGGCGAACGGGUGAGUAAUGCAUCGGAACGUGCCCAGUAGUGGGGGAUAGCCCGGCGAAAGCCGGAUUAAUACCGCAUACGACCUGAGGGUGAAAGCGGGGGACCGGAAGGCCUUGCGCUAUUGGAGCGGCCGAUGUCGGAUUCGCUAGUUGGUGGGGUAAAGGCUUACCAAGGCGACGAUCCGUAGCUGGUCUGAGAGGACGACCAGCCACACUGGGACUGAGACACGGCCCAGACUCCUACGGGAGGCAGCAGUGGGGAAUUUUGGACAAUGGGGGCAACCCUGAUCCAGCCAUGCCGCGUGCGGGAAGAAGGCCUUCGGGUUGUAAACCGCUUUUGUUCGGGAAGAAAUCCUCUGGGCUAAUACCCCGGGGGGAUGACGGUACCGGAAGAAUAAGCACCGGCUAACUACGUG
rnacentral:rRNA from 1 species